rnacentral:RNase_P_RNA from 1 species
CGGGCAGGCCGGGCAGCCGCCGGGGGCGAGAGCCCCGGGAGGAAAGUCCGGGCUCCACAGGGCGCGGCGCUGGGCAACUCCCAGCGGGGGCGACCCCGGGCAAGCGCAACAGAAAGGAGACCGCCUUCUCCGGAAGGCAAGGGUGAAAGGGUGAGGUAAGAGCUCACCGGCCGUCCGGGCGACCGGGCGGGCCAGGCAAGCCCCGUCUGGAGCAAGACCUAAUAAGGGAACCAUAAGGCGGCCCGCCUUGUUCCCGGGUUGGUCGCUGGAGCGCAGGGGAGACCCUGCGCCUAGAUGAAUGGCUGCCGGGCGCCGUCCCGUUAGGGGCGGCGCCUCACAGAACCCGGCUUACAGGCCGGCCCGGAUA